GACGAACCGAGCGAACGUUAUUCGGAAUCACUGGGCUUAAAGGGCGCGUAGGCGGGCCCGAAAGUCAGGGGUGAAAGCCCACGGCUCAACCGUGGAAGUGCCUCUGAUACUUCGGGCCUCGAGGGAGGUAGGGGCGUGCGGAACUUCCGGUGGAGCGGUGAAAUGCGUAGAUAUCGGAAGGAACGUCGGUGGCGAAAGCGGCGCGCUGGACCUCUUCUGACGCUGAGGCGCGAAAGCCAGGGGAGCGAACGGG
rnacentral:rRNA from 1 species